UACGUAGGGGGCUAGCGUUGUCCGGAUUUAUUGGGCGUAAAGAGCGUGUAGGCGGCCAGAUAGGUCUGCUGUGAAAACUCGAGGCUCAACCUCGAGACGUCGGUGGAAACCGUUUGGCUAGAGUCCGGAAGAGGAGAGUGGAAUUCCCGGUGUAGCGGUGAAAUGCGCAGAUAUCGGGAAGAACACCCGUGGCGAAGGCGGCUCUCUGGGACGGUACUGACGCUGAGACGCGAAAGCGUGGGGAGCGAACAGG
rnacentral:rRNA from 1 species